AACGAACGCUGGCGGCAUGCCUAAUACAUGCAAGUCGAACGAGAUCUUCGGAUCUAGUGGCGCACGGGUGCGUAACGCGUGGGAAUCUGCCCUUGGGUUCGGAAUAACUUCUGGAAACGGAAGCUAAUACCGGAUGAUGACGUAAGUCCAAAGAUUGAUCGCCCAAGGAUGAGCCCGCGUAGGAUUAGGUAGUUGGUGAGGUAAAGGCUCACCAAGCCGUCGAUCCUUAGCUGGUCUGAGAGGAAGAUCAGCCACACUGGGACGGGGACACGGCCCGGACUCCUACGGGAGGCAGCAGUAGGGGAUAUUGGACAAUGGGCGGAAGGCUGAACCAGCUAUGCCGCGUGAGUGAUGAAGGCCUUAGGGUUGUAAAGCUCUUUUACCCGCGAUGAUAAUGACGGUACCGGGAGAAUAAGCACCGGCUAACUCCGUG
rnacentral:rRNA from 1 species